AAGUGGUCACUGCAUUCUCUCAUCCAUCCAUGGGAAGUGGUCACUGCAUUCUCUCAUCCAUCCAUUCAUUCCUCAGCAUUUGUGGAGAAUCCACCACCUCUCUGUUGAGAGGAACAGCAUUUCUGAAACCUGGAGUAAAGAAAUAACAGCAAAUAAGUACAAGAAAGAUGAGAGCGAGAGAGAGAGAGACCGUGAGCGCAAGAAUUACACCCGGUAUGGAAGACGACUCUAAAUAAUGAACUUCUCUUGAGGCAAAAGAGAUGCCCCUCGAACUAACUGAGCUUUAACUUAAUGGAACCCAGACAGGAGCUGCAUGAUCCAACUUCCUAUCCAGGGAUUCUGAGAGGCUGAACAAUUCUAGCCAAGAAAACGAUUAUAAUAUUGAUGAAAUCAAAGCAUCUAGAAGACCGUGCAUUCCAUUUUUAAUCUAGCUGAGAUGGCAUAAUUCAUACCUCCUCAAAUUUGGACAAUUAUAAAUGACUCAACCAGCGAGUGCCAAAUUCCACCUACACCCUGAGUAUACCUGAAGCAACCACCGAAACCCAAGCUAAUCGCCAGAUGUAUGCUCACUGAGUGGGUAACUUACCUAACCUUGAGCUCCAUAAAGUACUCUCCUGAUCUUCUGGCGAAUAAUUCAGCAAACGUCUUUCGUUGCUUGAGAAUGCCCUGGGAGGCCUCCUUCUUAUCCUCAGUAAGCUUGUCAGCAUGUUUCUUCCAAGCACAUAUAGCACUUCCCCAGAGAGAUCUAACAAAAUAAAAAGUUUCCUCUUCUCAUUAUAACUUGAGUGAUAACAUGAUUUCUAUUGCUCAGCGUUAGUCUAGGCCCAGGGAGAUAUAUAGGAGAA